ACCUUAAUGUUGCCUCGGCGGAUCAGCCCGCGCCCCGUAAAACGGGACGGCCCGCCAGAGGACCCAAACUCUAAUGUUUCUUAUUGUAACUUCUGAGUAAAACAAACAAAUAAAUCAAAACUUUCAACAACGGAUCUCUUGGUUCUGGCAUCGAUGAAGAACGCAGCAAAAUGCGAUAAGUAAUGUGAAUUGCAGAAUUCAGUGAAUCAUCGAAUCUUUGAACGCACAUUGCGCCCGCUGGUAUUCCGGCGGGCAUGCCUGUUCGAGCGUCAUUUCAACCCUCAAGCCCCCGGGUUUGGUGUUGGGGAUCGGCUCUGCCUUCUGGCGGUGCCGCCCCCGAAAUACAUUGGCGGUCUCGCUGCAGCCUCCAUUGCGUAGUAGCUAACACCUCGCAACUGGAACGCGGCGCGGCCAUGCCGUAAAACCCCAACUUCUGAAUGUUGACCUCGGAUCAGGUAGGAAUACCCGCUGAACUUAAGCAUAUCAAA
rnacentral:rRNA from 1 species